AUGGACCCAGCCAGAAAUAGAGAAGUGGCUGAAAGAGGAAGAAGAGUGGCUGGGAGGGGGUGAGGAAUACGUAUGCGUGGUGGAAGAAGAAUAAGAGGAAGAUCAAGAGCUGUAGUCUCAGAUGAGAUCAGAGCUACUGUAAUUGAUCAUGUAGUAAAUCAUGGUCUCUCAAUGAGAGAGGAUGGUCAGAGAGUGCAGCCAAAUCUGCAACGCUCUACAGUGGCAUCUAUUGUUAGAGUUUUCCGGCAAACCAACAGACUCGAUGGUUACCUCAAGAAACUGCCAUUGUUUAUAUGGUCAUCCGAAACAAUGGGAUAAAACUCACUGAGAUUCGAGACAGAGUCUUGGCAGACAACAUUACUUUUGCAAAUAUUCACAGUGUAAGCAUAACAACAAUUUCUAGAGUCCUGAAAAAAACAUCAGGUCAGGAUGAAACUGUUGUACACUGUCUUUUGAGAGGAACUCAGAACAUGUCAAGCAACUCAGGAACCAAUAUGUCCAGAGAGUCAUGGAGAUUGAAGGCAGGAAAACACCCCACAUUUUCAUCUUUGUGGAUGAGGCGGGUUUCAACUUAGCUAAAACAUGGCGAUGAGGGAGGAAUGUGAUUGGGAAGAGAGCCACAGUGAUUGUCCGGGGCCAGAGGGGUGCCAACAUCACAAUGUGCGCAGCAAUAUCCACUGAUGGAGUGCUGUUACACAGACCACUGAACGUCUCCUUGCAUUCCUGCAUUAUCUCUAUGGAAGGGUUGUGCUAGAGGAGGAAAGGGAUGCAGAGAGAAGGAAUCAGCCAACAUUUAUAAUUGUAUGGGACAAUGUGGCAUUUCACCACUCCCGUGCAGUCACCGAGUGGUUUGUGGCCCAUCCACAAUGGAGUCACUUUUCCUCCCACCUUAACUCUCCAUUCCUCAACCCCAUAGAGGAAUUAUUUUCCUCAUGGAGGUGGAAGGUUUAUGAGCACCAUCCACAUGAUCAAAUGUCCCUCCUGGAUGCAAUGAAUACUGGAUGCCUGGACAUAUCAGCAGAAGAUUGCCAGGGAUGGAUCAAGCAUGCCAGAAGAUUCUUUCCUAGGUGUAUUGCCCUAGAUGACAUAAGAUGUGAUGUGGAUGAGAACCUGUGGCCAAAUGGAGAAGACCGAGUAGAUUAGCAUUACUAUUGUAUCUGUAUCAGUGGCUGGUGUGUAUAAAAAUUCUUGUAUUUUGGAAUUACUCAGUGCAA